rnacentral:misc_RNA from 1 species
GAUGAAGAACGCAGCGAAAUGCGAUACGUAAUGUGAAUUGCAGAAUUCAGUGAAUCAUCGAAUCUUUGAACGCAUAUUGCGCUCUCUGGUAUUCCGGAGAGCAUGCUUGUUUGAGUAUCAGUAAACACCUCAACUUCCAUAUCUUUUUUGAAAUGGGAGUUGGACUUGAGUGAUCCCAACGCUUUUCCUCACCGAAAAGUGGCGGGUUACUUGAAAUGCAGGUGCAGCUGGACUUUUCUCUGAGCUAUAAGCAUAUCUAUUUAGUCUGCCUAAAAAACAGAUUAUUACCUUUGCUGCAGCUAACAUAAAGGAGAUUAGUUCUUGUGCUGACUGAUGCAGGAUUCAAAAAGACGGCUUCGGCCGAUUUUGUAAACUCGAUCUCAAAUCAAGUAAGACUACCCGCUGAACUUAAGCAUAUCAAUAAGCGGAGGA